GGACAAUACAUUUUGGGUGACAGGAAGUAUUAAUGGAGGAAAUUUUUUAAAGAUACAAUUAAAUAUCUUAUUAAGAUAUCUCAGGAACUUUAAUUCACUGAACAUAUUUUUUGAGUGCCUACUAUAUGCAAGGCAUAGUAUUAGUUGUUCAUUAAAUCUAGAAUAUAAGGAUCACAAUAUAUUUAACUAGUCAAAAUGAGAACUCAGAACUUGGAUAAUCUCUAAAGAAGCUGAUCACAAAUAGAAUAGCACAUUCUGACAUUCUUGAUGAAAAGAUAAAUAAGACUUGUAUAACAAUCUUACUUAUUUUGAGCUUAAACAAGCUUAGGAGUUAAAAUAAAUUUUUACAUAAAUCUGCCAUAGUUCUCAGAAUCUAUAUAAUAGUUCAAAAAUAACCAGCUGGGCGCAGUGGCUCAGCCAGCAUUUUGUAAUCCCAGCACAGUACAAUUCCAGCACUUUGGGAGGCUGAGGUGGGAGGAUCACUGGAGCUCAGGAGUUCGAGGCUGUAGUGAGCUAUGAUAGUACCACUGCACUCCAGCCUGGGCGACAGAGGCAGACCCUGCUUCUU
ensembl:lncRNA novel transcript